CCUACGGGGGGCUGCAGUGAGGAAUAUUGGGCAAUGGGCGAAAGCCUGACCCAGCAACGCCGCGUGGAGGAUGAAGGCUUUAGGGUUGUAAACUCCUUUUGUGGGGGAAAAGAAUGGAUGGUACCCCAAGAAUAAGUCACGGCUAACUACGUGCCAGCAGCCGCGGUAAUACGUAGGUGACAAGCGUUAUCCGGAAUUACUGGGCGUAAAGCGCACGCAGGCGGUCAGAUAAGUCUGAUGUGAAACCUUCUGGCUUAACCAGAAGACGUCGUUGGAUACUGUUUGACUUGAGGCGAUGAGAGGAAGGCGGAAUCCCCGGUGUAAUGGUGGAAUAUGUAGAUAUCGGGGGGAACAUCUGAGGCGAAAGCGGCAUUCUGGCAUUAGCCUGACGCUCAUGUGCGAAAGCGUGGGGAGCAAACGGGAUUAGAUACCCUAGUAGUC
rnacentral:rRNA from 1 species